rnacentral:rRNA from 1 species
CGUAGGGUGCGAGCGUUGUCCGGAAUUACUGGGCGUAAAGAGCUCGUAGGUGGUUUGUCGUGUUGUUCGUGAAAACUCACAGCUUAACUGUGGGCGUGCGGGCGAUACGGGCAGACUGGAGUACUGCAGGGGAGACUGGAAUUCCUGGUGUAGCGGUGGAAUGCGCAGAUAUCAGGAGGAACACCGGUGGCGAAGGCGGGUCUCUGGGCAGUAACUGACGCUGAGGAGCGAAAGCGUGGGGAGCGAACAGGAUUAGAUACCCUGGUAGUCCACGCCGUAAACGGUGGGUACUAGGUGUGGGUUUCCUUCCUUGGGAUCCGUGCCGUAGCUAACGCAUUAAGUACCCCGCCUGGGGAGUACGGCCGCAAGGCUA